UCAUCUCAUUUCAAACCACCAACUCCAUUCAUACAUCAUUCCUCGUCCAAAAGGAAAAAUGAUACACCUCUAAAAGCUCUCUCAUAAUUUCACAUAUGUAAUUGAGGAUGAAUUGGGGUUUAGGGUUAGUCCUCUAAGGAAGAGGAUGAGUACCCAUUUCUUGAAAAUUGCUUAUUGAGACUCUUUGAGGUAAAUAUAUCAUCUAUAACUCAACAAUUAUCUUUGGGUAUAUGUAAUUUGGUUUAGAAAAUUAAUAUUAGAGAUUAGAGUAGAUAUUUGGGAAAUUUAUGGUUCCUUAUGCUUAGUUUAAACUCUAGAAUGAUUUUCUAAAUUUUAAUAAACAUGAUUGAUGUUCAGAUUCAACCGUUGCUGCUUCAUCUGCUUCUCCCGGAGUUGUUGGAGAGCAAAAUUAGCCGGUCUUCAUAGUUGUGAGUUGAUGACAAUCAUUAUCACUUAUUUUAACUACCGUUAUAAAUUAUAUGUUACUAAUUUUCUAUGUUAAUAUUGAUUAUAAAUAUUUUUAUUGGGAAACACGCCUUUGAAACCGUUUUCGUCAUCCUUAUUUGUUUACAUAAGAACUCUAGUUUGAUUUCUUAUGAUAUAUAAAGUAGCGGAUUGAAAAUUAUGGUUUUAUUGUGUUUAAUUUUACAUAAGUUUGGAACUGUUGUUAAAACAUGGUUUUAGUGGAAUGUAUUUUGAAUUCACGGUNNNNNNNNNNNNNNNNNNNNNNNNAGAUGGAGCCGUCUCUUGAUUCUAUCGUAACGAAUUCAUUUUAUUUGAUUGGAUGAGAAUGCGUUUUUGUAAUCGGUGAGAAAAGGGCUAUCCGUUAGAUGGAGCCGCCCCUAAGUGAAAGGCCACUCUUAUGAGGAGAGGGCUAUCAACGAGAUGGAGCCGUCUCUCGAUUCUUUCGUAACGAAUUAUUUUAUUUGAUUGAAUUUCUAUAUUUGUUUCUUAUUUCAAUUUUUAAACUCUAUAACGAAUUGAAUCGAAUAUUAUUUAUAUUACAUAGUUACUACUAUACAAUAAUUGUUACAAGCUUCUAAAAAUCAAACGCUCGUGCUUUUGUGUGUUCCCCAUCUAGUUGGUAGUGGUUGUUAUCUGUCACUAAGUCUUUGUGACUUACCCCUUCUUCUUACAUUUUUUUUCAGAUUCCCAGUCAGCUGAGUAGCAAGUUGUUAGCAUAUUCAAAUCUUCAUCAGUCUCACUCUUUUGGUAGGCCUCCUUUAUGGUUUGAUCAAAUAUCUGCAGCUAUUUUGAGUCUAGGAAUAUUUCAUUUUGGGAUGUAUAAAGUUAAGAAUGUAAAUGUUGAAACUUUGACUAAUGAUGUAUAUGCUGCAAACAGGGUUUAUUUUGAUUUGGAAACAUUGUAAAUACAGAUGUGAUUUUGUCGAGAUUUCAAUAAAUAUUAUUUUUGAAGUAAAUGGUCAUUUUGGAAAUCUUAUAUUUAUUGUUAAACUCGGUCAUUAGGCUUGCCGGACUAG
rnacentral:lncRNA from 1 species